rnacentral:rRNA from 1 species
CCUACGUGAGGCAGCAGUGAGGACUAUUGGUCAAUGGCCGGAAGGCUGAACCAGCCAUGCCGCGUGAAGGUCAGUGCCCUCUGGGCGUUACACUUCUUUUGUGCGGGAGCAAUACUGGUCACGUGUGGCCAGACGAGAGUACCGUACGAAUAAGCAUCGGCUAACUCCGUGCAAGCAGACGCGGUAAUACGGGGGAUGCAAGCGUUAUCCCGAUUUAUUGGGGUUAAAGGGUGAGUAGGCUGGUAGGUAAGUCAGCGGUGAAAUGCCGCCGCUCAACGGGGUGACGUGCCAUUGAUACUGCCUUGCUGGAAUGCGGAUGCCGUGGGAGGAAUGUGUGGUGUAGCGGUGAAAUGCAUAGAUAUCACACAGAACACCGAUUGCGAAGGCAUCUCACGAAUCCGCGAUUGACGCUGAUGCACGAAAGCGUGGGUAUCAAACAGGAUUAGAUACCCGGGUAGUC